rnacentral:lncRNA from 1 species
AAACAUCCUUAUAGACACAAUCUUCGAAGGUAUUCUCAAUCAUUUCUAGAGCAAAAGUUCCUGGAAGUGAAUUUUCUGAUCAAAGAAUAAUCUUACAGAUUUAAGAAAAUGAUUAAUGAAAUGAUGGGUAUAGGGUAUUUCGUACAGUGCUUAAGGUGUGUAUUGUGUGGGUGUUUGCAUGUAUGCAUGCAUGCUAAAAACUCUAAUAAUGGUAGCUGUUGUUCUCUAUAUUAUUAAAUUGGUUAGCAGACUAUUGCUGUAUUAUCUGUAUUGGUAACUUUAUUCUAGGGGAUGAAAUUUUGUAGUUUUUAAAAUUAUUGUUAGGAAGAGUAUAAUGGCAGGUUGAAUAUUGUAAGUCUGAGUGCUCACAAAGCCUAAAUUCUCUUGUCCUGUUCUUUAUGUUCUUUAGUGCCACUUACUUUUGGUUCUUUGUCCUUAUAUAGUCCUGGGCAAAGAGAAAAGACUGGCUCUAAUGCUGUGGUUCUUUCGUCAUCAGUAACUUUACAAACAGUUUGAAUGUUGGGAGAAAGUGGUUUCGGAUUCGAAGAAUUUGGGGGGUUACGUGUGCAUUUUACUUACCCUUUAAGGAUCUGCAGGUCCCUGAGCAGUGUCUGUGUGUGUCCUGAACACCCUCCUGUCACUGCGUGGCUCCGAGCUGGCUCCCAGAGGACAGAGCUGUCCAUCAAAGCCAGGCAGGCUUCGGCUCAGGUCUUCAGAUGAGACCGUAUCCUACAGUUCAGACUACUGAGCAAGGGUUUAUUGUGUUUUUGCCAUGAGCAAAAUGGGACCAAACAUUAUGUGUUUGAGAAGACUUUGCCCAUGGAAAAGCCAUGCAAGAAUUGGGCACUGUGGCACACACCUGUAAAAUCAGCUAUAGUAUGUGGGAGGCUGAGGCAGGAGAAUGGCAAGGCCCAGGCGAGUCUGGGCAACUAAAGAUGAAAAUAAAUAAAAGGGGCUGGAGAUGUAGCAAGUGAGCAAAGGUAAUUCAUGACCAAGGGCCCAAAUGAGGUACACAGAAGGGCCAAUGUGAAUUUUAAGUGCUCCUGGGGAUGGGAAGUAGAAAACACAACAAAACAAAACAGUACGUGUCACUUUUCAAGAGCAGAGGUCAGGUUAGAAAAGCAGAUGAAGAAAUGGCAUCAGGUAGACUCAGAUUAAAAACAAAGGUGACCUAAAAUUAAAUUGAGGACCGUCCCCUGGGGAACUGGCAUGGGUGGCAUGCUUUCUCAGGGAGAUCAUCCCCUCAGUGUGCAGAUGGGGCUGGGAAGGCAGCAACAAGUAGAGAAGAUAAGUAACAAGUCAAUGUGUUUGUCAGUUCUUAGAAAGUUAUUUCCUACAAGCUUUCCUAUGAGCCAACACUUAGGGAUGGGAAUAGGCUUGCAAGGAGAAGGUAGGGACA